rnacentral:lncRNA from 1 species
AAUGAAGAAGGUGAGUUACAUAGCAAUGCCGAUGGUGGUCACAACUGUUUCCCAGUACAUGUUAAGGGUUAUUUCCAUGAUGAUGAUUGGCCACCUGGGUGAGCUCUCUCUGUCUGGUGCCUCCAUCGCCACUUCUCUUACCAACGUCACUGGCUUCAGUCUUCUGGUAUAUACCCUUAUCAUCAUAUUCACAUUUCCUAUAGAGUGAUUUACAAAAUUAAUUUGAAAAUAACUUGCACAUAUGCCGAUCAGUUUGGGAUGUCAAGUGCACUGGAAACACUUUGUGGCCAAGCUUAUGGAGCAGAACGAUACCAGAUGUUAGGAAUCUAUACCUAUGGAGCCAUCAUAUCUCUACUUUUAGUUUGUAUACCAAUAUCUGUUCUAUGGAUCUUCACAGAAAGACUACUUAUUUUGAUCGGUCAAGACCCUUUAAUCUCACAUGAAGCUGGCAAUUAUUCAAUUUGGCUUAUUCCCACCCUAUUUCCAUACGCAAUUCUUCAAUUGUUGAUUCGCUUCUUGUUAGCUCAAAGUUUGAUAUAUCCAAUGCUUUUAAGUUCUGUGGCAGCUUUAGUGUUCCACAUACCUAUAUCAUGGCUGCUAGUAUUCAAGUUUAAGAUUGGAAGUGCCGGGGCAGCACUAGGCAUCGGUUUGUCAUAUUGGCUUAAUGUUGUCUUGCUUGGAAUUUAUGUCAAGUAUGCAUCAUCAUGUGAAAAGACUAGGAUCUCAUUCUCACAGCAUGUCUUUCCAAGCAUUAGAGAAUUUUUCCGACUGGGCAUACCUUCUGCUAUCAUGAUAUGGUAAUUAUAAUCACCAUUAUAUCCUGAUUAUAUCCUGUAAUUAGGUCUAAUUAUACAUACUGUUAACGAACAGUCUUGAGUGGUGGUCGUAUGAGCUUGUUAUAUUGCUCUCUGGCCUUUUGCCUAAUCCUCAACUUGAAACAUCAGUCCUGUCAAUAUGGUAAUUCUCUUAUUCAUUCUAUAGCAUAUAAUAUGAGCUUGAACUGUGCUAUAACUCUAUAAUAGCUUCUGUUUAUUUGGCAUUUGACCGAUAGUCUUGUAGUCUCUUCACUUCACUACUUCAUACCAUACUCUUUUGGUGCUGCUGCAAGGUACAUCCCAGAACUUGAUGUUUGUGCAUUAAAUUUUUUUAAUUUUUUGUUUUGGCUAAUAUUCUAAUUAUGUAAUUCUUGAAUGUGUAUAUUGAACAUGAUAUAGCACUCGAGUCUCGAAUGAAUUAGGUGCAGGGCAUCCAGAGGCAGCUAGCCUGGCUGCUUGGGUUGCAUCAUUUCUUGCGGUUAUAGAGGGGGUCACUGCAAGUGCAAUUCUUUUUAGCUGCAGGUCUGUACUGGGAUAUGCUUUCGGGGAAGAGAAAGAAUUGGUUGAUUAUGUCAAAGAUAUGGUUCCCCUUUUGAGUCUUUCUGUUCUGAUGGACUGCUUAGCAGCACUGUUUUCUGGUUUGCAUCUUUCUUCUCUCUGUUUCUUAAAUAUUUUAAUGUCGUUUGGCCUUUUGUUUGACAACUUGUAAACAUAAUUUUGUCAAAGACCACCUGUCUGAUUGCUAAAGCGAAUUUACUUUACUAGAUAACUAAAUUUGAUGGCAAUGUAUCUUCUCUGAAUCAGGGGUUGCUAGAGGAGUUGGGUGGCAGCAUCUAGGAGCAUAUGUGAACCUUGGAGCAUUUUUUCUGUGUGGAAUUCCGAUGGCAUGUGUGUUGGCUUUCGUUUUUCAUUGGAGAGGGAAGGGCCUUUGGACAGGUUUAACUACUGCUUCUUUGCUGCAAGGUUUGAUGCUUAUGAUGAUAACAUUCUUCACAAACUGGAAGAAGCAGGUUUGUUGCUAGUAAAAUUACAUAUACUUAUUGCUUUUUACAUUCUUUUUUGCUUAUUGGAAUAUGUUCUCGUCUUAAUAUCAGAAAUAUGCAGAAGCUGAUGAACUGAAUAUUCUAACAUAUGGUUCUGUAGGCAAGAGCGGCAAGGCAGAGGACAAUUGAGGGGCGAUCUCAGCUAACAAUUGAAUAAGUAAACACUUCAUUAUAAGGCUUCUAAUAAAAGUUUUCUUGGAAGAAGCUGUCCUAUUUCCUAAGAUGGCACCAGUGCACCGUAAAAAAGGUUUAAAGGAGCAAUCCCUUCUCUGAAAUUUUAUGAUCUGAAUAUGCAGUUGUGAAUUGAAUUAGAAAUAGAUUCACAUUUUGCUGGAUGCAAAUGUGUUGGAAGUUUGUAUCGUUUUUCUUAUUUGAUAAAAAUGGCCGUCCUCCACUGGAACUGUUUCACGCUAUGUUCAACACUAUUUGUAUAACAUUGUUCUGCACUGUUCUCAGGCUAAAAUAUGUUCUCCAUAGAGGGCGACCUUAUAUAUGUGAGUCUCUACGCUAGUGUAUAUAAGAAUUUACUGUCCAGAUCUCCGGUGGUGCCCCGUCUGCUGUCAUGGUAAUAUUAACCGCGUUAUAAAUGUUGAGGCAGCAGUUAGGUUUCUUAAGUGCAUCGUCAGUCAGGUGCAAAGUUAAGGCACAUCAUGGGCAUUGAACUUAAAAGCCAGUCACAGAAAAUUCCAGUUUCAUUUUCUGGAGGGACCUCCUUCAAAUGAUCAUGACCGGAUGACAUGAUCAUCAAUCCUCGUAUGUUAAUAGCACUACAGCUAUCAAACUUUUAUAUAAUCAAGAUAGAUUGAACCUAUCCAAUUUUUACAGUGCGAUGGUUGGUUGUUCACGGCCUAGCUGACUGUGAUUAUUAGUAUGUGGUUGCAGUUAUAGACUACAAUUGUAUUUGUAAUCAAGUCGAUACCUAAAAAAAUGCUCAAAAAAUUCUAAAUCUGCAGAAUCAGAUUUGUUAUCCUAAGUCUUAAAAUUUAUUUUAAUAUGUUAACAAAAUGAAUAUCUAGAGUAGUUUAUAUUAGUAACAAAACUGAUAUUAAUUUCAUUCAAAGAAAUGACUCCUCUGCCAAGUCUUUCAGUUAUGGUGGAUUACUUCUGGAAGAUCCCAGCUGUCAUGCCAGCUAUGUGCUGACUUGGCACUUCCCUUGAUCUUGCUGCUUAGAGUGAUAAGAGAAUCUCCAAUGGUUUACAUCCUUCAAGUGGUGUCAACUUUGUCACAUAAUCAAAUAUAAUAUUUUUAAUUAUAUUAUCUUUUUUAAAAAACACCGCAAUGGUUGGCACUCCAAGAUGCCAACUUUACCUAACUUGUCUUAUACAUUAUUGGGUUCAUAAAAUGAAGUUGGCACCCUACUCCGUGGGAUGCCAACUUUUGGCAUCUCAAGUUGGCAGUUGGCACUUGGCACCCCAUGCCACUUCAUUAGGCACUCCGAUGAUAUCCCUAUACUCCAACAGAGUGCUAACAAGGGUUUUCUGCCACGUCAUGCCACAUAGCGUCCCUUCUUGACACUCAUUGUUUAUCUGUAUCCUAAACUUCAAUAGAGUGCUAACAAGAGUAUUUUGGCACGUUAUGCCACAUAGCGUCCCCUCCUGGCACCCAUUGUUAUCUGUAUGUGUUUGGUUUGUUUGUGAAAGAUAGGAUUGGAAGCAAUGCCUAACGCACUCUUAUUGUAACAAAACAGAGGAACUGGUGUCAAUUUUUUGAGACCAAGUUUCAGCAAGUAAAUUAACGACCCAAGCGAGUUCACGAGAGACAUAUCCAAAGGCUCUAUAUUCUGCCUCAGCAGAGGAACGAGACACAAUUGGUUCUUCACCGAUUGCAAGAAGCAUAAAGAUUUUUCGAUCAACGAUAGCGUCUUCUUUUAUGAACAUACGACAAGAGAAUUAUUGGUUCACACAAUUAUUGCUUCACACUCUACAAUAGCAACAUUAGUCAACAAUGUCGACUAAAAAAUACCACAGAUCUGUGAUUAGAUAAUUAAACAUGAUGCACUGGGUGACGAUGGCCAUCGGUGAGAUGCAAUCACAGUAUUUUGGUUAGAAUAUCUUGCAAAAAUUUAAAAUCGAAUAAGAGUUCACUUUCUUUGAGUUUAGUACUGUAACUUAUUAUUGAGUACGAAAGUAUGUUGCAGCAGUCGUGUUAGAUAUUGUGUGCAAAUGAAAGUGGCAACUGAGUACUACUCAUUAUUGUUGAAUAUUCUCUUGGGCUGUCUCGGGUAGCUACCCUAUCCACUUGCUUACUUGUAUGAAAAGAAAACAAUACAGAGAGAACUGAGACACUGAAGAUGGAACAACCACUGCUUGAGACGACACAGGACCACCACGAAAGUCGAGGAGAGGCGUUGGAAGCAUUGUCGUCAUCAUCAUCAUUAGCGAAAAGAUGGGAGGUACUGGUAAUGGGAGAAAUGAAGAAGGUGAGUUACAUAGCAAUGCCGAUGGUGGUCACAACUGUUUCCCAGUACAUGUUGAGGGUGAUUUCCAUGAUGAUGAUAGGCCACCUCGGUGAGCUCUCUCUGUCCGGUGCCUCCAUCGCCACUUCUCUUACCAACGUCACUGGUUUCAGUCUUCUGGUAUAUACCCUUAUCGUCAUAUUAACAUUUUUUAAUAAGUUUACUAAAUUAAUUUACAUAGGAGAAAUGCACUUUGAAAAAUCUAAGUUUGGUUAUUGUAUGGUUGCACCAUAAACUAGAUGAACACGAAGAUUAUAAUGUAAAUUGAUGAUAACUUGCACUUAUGCCAAUUAGUUUGGGAUGUCAAGUGCACUGGAAACACUCUGUGGCCAAGCUUAUGGAGCAGAGCGAUACCAGAUGUUAGGAAUCUAUACCUAUGGAGCCAUCAUAUCUCUCCUUUUAGUCUGUAUACCGAUAUCUAUUCUAUGGAUCUUCACAGAAAAACUUCUUCUUUUGAUUGGUGAAGACCCUUUAAUCUCACACGAAGCUGGCAAUUACUCGAUUUGGCUUAUUCCCAACCUGUUU